rnacentral:rRNA from 1 species
CUAGUAACGGCGAGUGAAGCGGCAACAGCUCAAAUUUGAAAGCUAGCCUUCGGGUUCGCAUUGUAAUUUGUAGAGGAUGAUUUGGGGAAGCCGCCUGUCUAAGUUCCUUGGAACAGGACGUCAUAGAGGGUGAGAAUCCCGUAUGUGACAGGAAAUGGCACCCUAUGUAAAUCUCCUUCGACGAGUCGAGUUGUUUGGGAAUGCAGCUCUAAAUGGGAGGUAAAUUUCUUCUAAAGCUAAAUAUUGGCGAGAGACCGAUAGCGCACAAGUAGAGUGAUCGAAAGAUGAAAAGCACUUUGGAAAGAGAGUUAAAAAGCACGUGAAAUUGUUGAAAGGGAAGCGCUUGCAAUCAGACUUGUUUAAACUGUUCGGCCGGUCUUCUGACCGGUUUACUCAGUUUGGACAGGCCAGCAUCAGUUUCGGCGGCCGGAUAAAGGCUCUGGGAAUGUGGCCUCCACUUCGGUGGAGGUGUUAUAGCCCAGGGUGUAAUACGGCCAGCCGGGACUGAGGUCCGCGCUUCGGCUAGGAUGC